GAUGAACGCUGGCGGCGUGCCUAAUACAUGCAAGUCGAGCGAAUGGAUUAAGAGCUUGCUCUUAUGAAGUUAGCGGCGGACGGGUGAGUAACACGUGGGUAACCUGCCCAUAAGACUGGGAUAACUCCGGGAAACCGGGGCUUAUACCGGAUAACAUUUUGAACCGCAUGGUUCGAAAUUGAAUGGCGGCUUCGGCUGUCACUUAUGGAUGGACCCGCGUCGCAUUAGCUAGUUGGUGAGGUAACGGCUAACCAAGGCAACGAUGCGUAGCCGACCUGAGAGGGUGAUCGGCCACACUGGGACUGAGACACGGCCCAGACUCCUACGGGAGGCAGCAGUAGGGAAUCUUCCGCAAUGGACGAAAGUCUGGCGGAGCAACGCCGCGUGAGUGAUGAAGGCUUUCGGGUCGUAAAACUCUGUUGUUAGGGAAGAACAAGUGCUAGUUGAAUAAGCUGGCACCUUGACGGUACCUAACCAGAAAGCCACGGCUAACUACGUGCCAGCAGCCGCGGUAA
rnacentral:rRNA from 1 species